UUAAAUUGAAGAGUUUGAUCAUGGCUCAGAUUGAACGCUGGCGGCAGGCCUAACACAUGCAAGUCGAACGGUAACAGGAAGCAGCUUGCUGCUUCGCUGACGAGUGGCGGACGGGUGAGUAAUGUCUGGGAAACUGCCUGAUGGAGGGGGAUAACUAC
rnacentral:rRNA from 10 species